rnacentral:rRNA from 1 species
AUUGAACGCUGGCGGCAGGCCUAACACAUGCAAGUCGAACGAGUGGCGGACGGGUGAGUAAUGCGUGGGAAUCUACCUUAUGGAGGGGGAUAACUACGGGAAACUGUAGCUAAUACCGCGUACCAUAGGAUGAGCCCAAGUGGGAUUAGGUAGUUGGUGGGGUAAAGGCUCACCAAGGCGACGAUCUCUAGAUGGUCUGAGAGGAUGACCAGCCACGCUGGGACUGAGACACGGCCCAGACUCCUACUGGAGGCAGCAGUGGGGAAUAUUGCGCAAUGGGGGCAACCUGACGCAGCCAUGCCGCGUGUAUGAAGAAGGCCUUAGGGUUGUAAAGUACUUUCGGUGGUGAGGCGUUAACUACAGAAGAAGCACCGGCUAACUCCGUGCCAGCAGCCGCGGUAAUAC